ensembl:misc_RNA Metazoa_SRP Metazoan signal recognition particle RNA
GUCAGGCUCAGUGGUGCACACCUGUGGUCUCAGCUACUCGAGAGGCUGAGGUGGAACAAUUGCUUGAACCCAGGAGUUCUGAGCUGUAGAGUGUGGUAGCAAUCGGGUGUCUGAACUAAGCUGGGCACCAAUAUAGUGACCUUCUGGAGCAGGGGCCUUCAGGUUGUUUAAGGAGGGGUGAACUGACUUCGGUCAGAUAUGGAGCAGAAUCAGUAAUGGGACUGUGCCCGUGAAUAGGCACUGCACUCCAGCCUGGGAAAUAAAGCAAGAGCUUAUCUCU